rnacentral:lncRNA from 1 species
AGUGAAAUGAUGUGGAACACAAUGCAUUCUUUUCUGGUUGUCUUGGUUGUUGCAAGGAGACAUUGGGCAUUGUAAUGAAUGGAUGACAAUGUGUGUCGCUGGCAAACCUACACCAUGUGCAAUUUUCCUGGUGGAUAUCCUGGGCAAAUGUGCAAUAUCACAAGGGAUAUCUUGGGCAAAUGUACAAUAUCACAAGGGAUAUCUUGGUACGAUUAUUAAAGAAGGAUGAUGUUGUAAGGUUAGUGGAUAUUUGUAAUAGUGAUAAAAUGGGGGUUUCCUGCAAAUAAGAACAAAGUAAGGCUUCCCAAUUAAGUGGAAACAAUAUUGCAGAGUGUAACAAUCUAACAAUAUGACGGACUGAUUAAUCUGUAAAAAUGAUGCAUGUUUAGAAAAAGCAAAAAUUGUGGCAUAAAUAUAUCAGGAAACAGGCUUCAAAUGUACCUGUACAUUCUUAAAUCGCUUCGAGGUGGUUUUCCGUCAAUCUCAAAUUAACUUGGGCGUUUUAGUUUUUAGUUUGGCAUGAUUUAGGAUUUUUAUUUUAUUUUCAUUUAUGAUUUUCUAUAAAUGCCCCCAACUAGUUUAUAUGUAAUACCAUAACAUAUAAUAUAUAGAUUGUAAAUUUAUUGUAAAAUUAUAAUGUAAAAUUUGUAAAAUUAUAAUGUAUAUGUAAAAAGAUUGUAAAAUUAUAAUGUAUAUGUAUCUAAUACAACUACAUUCUGUGUUGGGUUGUUUGGGUUCAAUAAGUUUUUAGUAGGCAUGAUUUUGGAUUGUUUUUAUUUAUGAUUUCUAUAAAUUGGAUCCCCAAGUCAACUAAUUUGCAACAUAAUAAUGUCCAAUACAGUAUAUGGUUGUAAAAUUUAUAAUUGGUGUGUGACAAGUGAGGCUGAAGCAAGCAGGCAAAGCAGCAUUCUAAUAUGUACAGACAGGAGGUUUUGAAGUAAAUUGUAUUUACAGUAUGGCAUUCUUGUCAUGCUUGCUAUGCACAGAUUAACAUUGUCCCACAGCAGUAUGCAUUAUAAGUUCCAUCAGGAAAAUAUAAUAUUUCACAAAGUAAAAAUUAUUUGGUAUUAUAAUUUCUUGUAAAGUUUGUGAUCUUUGGUUAGGCGUAAAAAAAUACCUGUGGUUCCGGUUCCAGACUGACCCUAUUUUUUUAUGCCGACCCUACUAUUUUUUCAACGAGAUUGACGAUUGAAUAUUCAAAAAAAAAUUUAGUUCCAACCCUAAUUUUUUCACGAUCUGAAACUGGAACCACAGGUAUUUUUUUAUGCCUUGACAUCAUUCUGCGCACAAUGAAGUAUUCACGACAAAGAAAAUAUACAAGCAUUAAAUAUUUUCUGCAUUAUUUAUCAAUCCUUGCUCAAUGACAAAAACAUACUUAAUUUUGUAAUAUAGGAAAAAAUAGAGUUUCUGUCAUAUACUGUAUGAUACUGAUAGGAAUUUGAAGUUUUUAGUAGGCAUGAUUUAAGAUUUUUGUUUCUAUUUGUGAUUUUCUAUAAAUGGGUGCCCAAAAAAUAUGUUAUGAAUUUAGUUGAGAUAUGUUAUGAAUUUAUGAUAUCAUGUGUUACUACAACAGUAUAAAAAACAAUUAUUGUGGGCUCUAUUUUACAAAUACUAUAUAAAUAUACAAUAAUAUAACUUUAUACUCUAUUUUACAAAUACUAUAUAAAUAUACAAUAACAUAACUUUAUUUAUGAGAAUAAAUACAGCUAUAUCAGGAACAACAAGAGAGUGGAGUAGCAAGACUUUGAGCAGUGUUACAUUUCAAACAGAUUGAUUUCCAAGCCCGAGGAUUUUCAAAAUUUGUAAUGUCUCUCCGGGAGCAGGGGGUUAGACACGAAAAUGAACAAAUUAUAUAUUAUUAUUAUUAUUUAUUAUUAUUAAUCUUAGUUGUUUUUCGGGUUGGUGGCAUAUGUUUAUUUAUGACUGUAGUUAUGUAUUGUAUUCUAUUUUUAUUGCAUGUUUCCUGUUGUGUCUUUAAUCGGAGGAAUGCCUCGCAUGGGACCUCGAGUCCCGUUCGCACUCCUACCGUUUGGUCACUAUCCAAUAAAGUAUUUAAAACAAAACAUAAGAGCUUUUGUUGGGCAUAUAGACAGGGGGAACUCAAUACGUGGGGGGGGGGGGUUAUUCAAAUGUUACAUAUCAAAAUCUAAGCUAGCCCUUUAGAAAUACAAUAAAACCUAUUUGAGUGUAAUAGCUUUUGUAGUUUUUAUGUUACAUUAAAUCAAACAGCACAAGUUUUUUUGGGACACCCGGGAUACAUUUCUACCAGUCUUCCUUUAUAAAGCGGUGACUGGGCUAAGAAUAUUUCAAUAUGUCAUUGCUGUUGAAAUGACUUAAUUCAUCACUAAUAAUACUAAAGCUUGUGUUAGUGCUGUGCGCCGGAGUUGCCGGAGCCGGAGUUCUGCCGGAGCUCCGGCGGUUUUUCCAACGCCGGAGCAGAAUUUUGUAUGCCGGAGCAGAAUUUUGUAUGCCGGAGCCGGAGUCAACCUCGUUCCCAGGCUCUUUGCUCUUGUGAAGCAAAGACCCUGGUCGGGGCUGGUCACGUGACCCCGCAGAUUCUGCGUGGUAAAUUGAAUUGAUCUCAGGGAGGGGUGGUAGAGGAGUCUGUUUGCUACGUUUGGAAAAUUGCAAUUUUAUGUGUUAUAGUUUCGGGUGAUAAAAAUGUAAUUUGCAACAAGAAAUCGUGAAAGGAACAGUUUUAAAUUCGUAUUCAUCAUGACACAACUUCCUGCUAUACUGAAUGUCAUCAAUAAUAAGUGUUGCGGUACAUUUCAAGCGACAAGCUGGAUCAUAUUUCACUUCCAAGGACUCCACACGCGCCUGGCUUACGAAGUUGAGCACGCAUCGCCGUAGAAACAUAUAAGUCUUCCCAAUUCUAUACUGACUGACGAUCAAACGAUACUAAAUGAACGAUAUGGUUGUUUAUUGUUGAAGUGUAUCCUGUCCGAUAUUCAACAAAGCCAAAGGAUUUAUUUUAUAAUGGAAGAUUUCCCAAACAUCGCUAACUGUGUGUGUAAACAAUAGUGCUAUCUUGACUGUGAAAGCACAGGAUUAAAACCGUUAUGGACUGUAAAAUUCCUUUCAUUUACAUUGCUGAAACUCAACGAUCAAGAAUGAUUAUGUCGAAGACUCGAAGUAUAGCUAUCUGUCAUCAGACGAACACCAAGACCACUGUGCGUUUCCGUGCGUGCGGUACAUAUAACUUGAAUAUUUAGGACGAUAUAUGCACCAGAUUGCACCAGACACUGGUAUUGUACUUCAUAGUAAAUUAUUUCAUAUUUUGUGUGUUACAGUAAUUUACAGCAGGUACAUUAAUUUAUAAACCUUAUAAAGACCUUUCAUUCCCAUUGCCCAUUCAGUGCUUUAUAUUUGAAGAAUAACCCGACAGCUUCUUUGGACUUGUAUAAUGCUGCUGUGAGUCAUCAAUAUUUAAAUCAACUUUAAAUAAUCUUUAUCGUAUACUGUAUAAAUGACAUUUUAGCAGUUUCACCAAACCAUACUAGAGGCAAACAACCUAUCUAUCAAUGGAAACUUUAAAAGGCUUAUUAAAACUCAUUAAUUAAGUAAUUCUAUGAGCUGGACUUCGUGCGCAUAUAUACAGUUUAUGAAUUAUGUAUAUAUAUCCCUGAUAAAACGUAGGGACACUUUAUACCAGAUAUAAUAAAAAAUACUUUGCUAAACCUUUUCGGCUAUCAUUCCUUUGCAUUCAAGGGGCGAGGGUGAAUGGCUAUAUAAUUCAUAUCGGAGAUUCUGUGCAAUCUGAUUUAGUGAUUUUGGCUUCAACAAACAGGUACUCGUGCAGACAAAAAAGGAAAUGCAUACAGUUGUGAAUUGUCGUAUAAUUCUUUACUGUUGAUCCCAAACAAUUUUGUACAUGUACGUUAACACUCCUUCCUACCUUGUGUUGAAUAUAAACGAUGAUAACCUUUUUAAAAAAAUCUAGAGCACUAUGUCUAUAAACCGUUUUAGAAUCAAUAGAAUGGACAUUCAAUGUCUAUUUGGCUAGUGUCCAAAUAUGUAACGUUUGCUGUAGGACCAACAAGGCGCUACGCCUACGACCUACACAGUCGCUUUUGAGACCUCUAUUUAACAAAAUUUAUACCGUUUCCAUAUGACAACAAUUCAAUGGCACAUUAUAAGAAUAUUAUACGUAUCUGAACCAGAGCCAGAUACAGAAACGUACGCGUGAAAUGAAACUGCGCCCUAACCCCGCGAGACAAUAAAAGGGCAAAUAUUUCCAAGCAUAUACGAUCAUACGUUUUCGUUGCUUGAUUUUCUGACUUGUUUGUUGCUAUAAGAAUCUACAGUUUAGCAUGUUUGUAUAAUUUAAAAGCAAACAGAAACCAAUUUAGCAAGUAUUUUGAAGUAUAUAUGAUUCUCAAAGAUGAUUGUAUAGAACGGUCACUCCUUGCAAUCGAAGUGUGAGGUGCGGAAGUGGAAACAUGUAAUUUGAUACUUUUCCAUCCCCCUCUUAGGUUAUCAAUUUUCUAUGGGUCACGUGACCAGCCCCGACCAGGGUCUUUGCUUCACAAGAGCAAAGAGCCUGGGAACGAGGUUGAGCCGGAGUUACGUUUUCCCAGCUCUGGCAAAAUGACAAGAAAACAAUAUAAAUGAGACAAAUGUCAAACGAUUGUUAGUUACUGCAAACUGCCAAUUGCUGUUAAUGAAUUCAUCAUAGACUCAAACUGCCACAGCCCACAGGAACAGCGUCGAAAAGCUGUAAUACGAUCGCAACUUACAAACGUCAUGCUUUCAUGAAGCCAUCUGACUUAGCGCUACAUAGUCUGUGUAUUCAUGCCUUGUAGAUAACGAAAAAGCACAACACAAAUAAAUAUCAACCUUUUGAAAAUGAUAGAGUACUUUGUUUGCGUGCGAACAAUUGCGCUGUGGAGUCUGAGAGUGUUAGCGUCAUGCCUCGUGUCAAAGAUUUUUCGAGGCUGGUUUCCAUAUAGAUAUUUUCUGCGUGGUUAAGUGUUUUCACUUUUUUGUUUCCUGAGUUAUGUUAUCUGAUAAUUAGAAAGCGCGAAAAGGGUUAUUCAUAAUAAUAAAUGUUCUCUGAUCGUAAAACAUUUAUUUAAUAUUUUAUGAUGUGGCCGGAGCCGGAGCUCAGAGCUGUAAUUCGGCCGGAGCCGGAGAUGAAAAACCGGAGUUUGCACAGCACUAGCUUGUGUUGCUGAUAAUAUACCAUCCAGCGUCUAUUUUUGGCAAAAUUCUUGAACAAAGCAUAUUUCAAUGUUUGCAAUGUGACCAUUGCAUAUGGCUGUCAAAAAUGUCAAGAUUUAGAUUAUUGUUUUGUAAAACAUUGUGCGGCUCGCGCCCAAGUAUUGUUGUGGAUUUUAGAAAUCUUUUUAUGCUUUAACCCAUUGAGUGGCAGCACUGUCCACUUGACAAGUAAAAUCCUGUGCUGUUAGACAGAGUGAAAUACUAAAGUAGGCUGCAUCAUGGCGUAAUGCAACUUAAAGGGUUAACCAAGACAAAGUUCAUACAUUUUGUUUGAAAAAAGAUUUUUACACAGUAUCGUGCCUGUUCGUAUUUGGAAGGUCCUUGUUACACCUGAUACUGCAUGUAUAUAUAUACAAAGAAUGUAACCCGGGGGGGGGGGGAUAAAACCCUAGUAGGGAACCACCUCCAGGCCGAUUUACACUCACCUGCGACAACUUAGGGGAGUUGUGUGCUUGAUUUGCACAGUUGUAAGCAUGUUGUAUGGGACCAUCUGAUGCAAAUGACCAAUAUUUUUCAAUUGAUGUUUAUCACUUGAAAGUAAUUACUUUCAAUUACUGUCGAUGCAAUGGAAGUGUUGAUAAAAUAUUGCAUGAAUUCAUUUCCUCAAGUUGAUCAAUUCAUACGAAUUCAAAUUUCUUUUUACUUCCUGUGCGUUUCCUAUUGGCCAGUCGGUUCUGAAACGAAAUCUAAUUGGCUCAUCCAAAAGUAACAGCAGGAAGUUGAUCAAUUUUCUAUCAAAUUAAUUGAUCAACUUGAGGAAAGGAAUUGGUGCAAUAUUUUAUCAACACUUCCAUUGCAAUCGACAGUAAAAGAAUGGAUUUGGACAAUUUUCUGAAAGUUUGGAGUAGGUUUGUGCACUUCUAGAAUUUUUCAAAAAUAUUGUGUGUUCCCCCCUUUUGAUUUGACCAAAAUAUUCCAAUUCAUGUUUUUAUCAUUUGGAAGUAAUUGUUUUGAUUCAGGGAACAGUUUUUGACCAAUUUUCAGAAGGUUCACAUUAUUUUCCUUGUAAUUGUGUGACAUAAUGACAUAGUUAUAGUUUGUGUUCUUCUAUAAACCAUCCUUGAAAUUUUGUUCAAGCCUAGUGACUUAUUUCAGUACAUGAAAAUCAUCUCACCUUUCAUCCUGUCCCUUAGCCAGCCAUUAAGUUGAUUUGCACCCUAAUUUACCUACUUAUAUUGUUUAACUCUGUCUAACGUCAGACAAUUUUAUUAAGCAGGGGGUCCACUAAGCAGUUAAUGGGUAACUAGGCACAUGGGCAGUCUCAUUAUGAAGCAUAAAAUUGUCUGGCAUUGGACAGUAAAAUACUCAAGUAGAGCAUGCAUCAGGGCACAGUACAACGGUUUAAUUUUUUUGUAGCAAAAGUUUUAUAUAUGAAUUAAUUAUUGAUUUUUUGCUUUGUUUUACAGAUCAUUACUGAACAUUCCUUUUAUAAAAUAUCGUGUUACCAAGAUGACAUGCCUCGAGGAGCAAUACAGGAGGAAAUACCUCUAUUUCUGAUCAAAUUACAACAAUACACCAAAGACAGUAGUUAUGAUCAUGAAGCUAUAAAUUUAAAGAAAAUGUACCAAACGACAAAGACAAUGAUGAUGAAAUUGGAUGCCUCGGAUGAAAUGAAAUGAAAUGAAAGGAUUGAAUGUCAUGGUCAGCAGUCGAUAUGUGUGACUAUACUAAAUGGCUACAAAGAAACUAUGAUGGAUAUACAAAGGUCACAGAAAUGUUUACUUUCAGGUACUGUUCUUUCUUGUUUGCCUGCGAACAGGCUGUAGAUAUGUAGAUAUUGUACCCAGGUCAUUGUUUGUUUUGUUGUUCUGGAUACAAUGAAAUCCGGCAUAAAUUCUGGCGGUAUAAAUGUUUAGUAUAUUUACACAUUCGAUCUAUUUUCUGUUCAGUAGACUUUGAUAGCUUGAAUGAAAGUUUACGAUGAUUUUCUUUGCAAAAACUGUACUUUCGGAAUUCAUCAGCUUCUGAAUUUGAAAACGGAUCUGAAAAGAGAACAUUUGAGUGUAUGGUUAUUGCAUGGUUCUAAUGAUUCGUUUAUAUUACCAUUGUUUCCGUCUGUGUAAAUAUACUGCCUUGGUGCACACACAUUACAAGCGCAGCAACGCAACAGUUUAGACAGGGUCAUGAGGCAGAAUGUGUACAAGAAAAGCUUUGCCAGAGUUUUGUCUUUUGAAAUACAACGACGAUUGGAAAUUGCUGUUUGAUUCUUUGUAAUAUCUUGUUAGUAAAAAAGAAAUUUGUCACUUUCCUCAUGCAAACCUUUUUCAAAAAACUGGCAUCGUUUGUCUUGGGGUUAGGGGGUACAAAUGGUACCCAUAGCUUAGAGGGUGCAAAUGGUACCCGUAAGAAGACUUGGUGGAAAUCGUGUUGGUCGUUUGGAUUGGCGAGAAUAAGGCAAUUAUGGUGGCAAAGUUUUUUCAAACAUUUUCUCUCCCGUAGUAAGGUAAAGCAUGUAUUUUCCUGGUAGCCGGUCUUACUUCAUGAAAAAACAGUCCGCUACCAGUGACUAGGUCCCCUCUCUUAUGGCGGUCAUUGCGGCUCAAUGUGUUCAAUGGAACACAAAUGUAUUCAGGCAUGUAGGGGUAUUCCUUUUCAGGGCGUUUGCAUGCGGAUAAGAUGGUCCGUCGCGUGCGCAAAAUAGUUAGCGAGAUAGACAGU